CUGAUAAAAAUUGAAUAGAAAACUGAGCGGAGAUCAGGGAAAGAGGUGCGAUUCCUCUACAGGCCCUAGCUACUGUGAAGCGGACGAAAUCCCAUUCAUGUCACUGGAAUUAUUUCUGGGAAGGCGGGAAAGUAGAAUGAUGUCAAGUCAGGAGACCUCCUCUGUUCAGCCUUGCAGC
rnacentral:ncRNA from 2 species